rnacentral:rRNA from 2 species
GGUCCUGAAGGAACGUUGAAGACGACGACGUUGAUAGGCCGGGUGUGUAAGCGCAGCGAUGCGUUGAGCUAACCGGUACUAAUGAACCGUGAGGCUUAACCUUACAACGCCGAAG